GAUUAUUAAGGUCGGAAAGGCUCCCGACACUCUCUGUAAAGAGAACCUGAGAUGCAGGAUACGCCGCCCUGCUAAUAGUC
rnacentral:ncRNA from 1 species